rnacentral:rRNA from 1 species
AACGAAAGCUUAUGCUUUAGUAGCGGACGGGUGAGUAAUACAUGAGAAUCUACCUUUGGGAGGGGAAUAACAGUUGGAAACGGUUGCUAAUGCCCCAUAUGCUUACGAGUGAAAAGAGAAAUCUGCCCGAAGAUGAGCUCAUGCCUGAUUAGCUAGUUGGUAAGGUAAUGGCUUACCAAGGCAACGAUCAGUAGCUGGUUUGAGAGGAUGAUCAGCCACACUGGAACUGAGACACGGUCCAGACUUCUACGGAAGGCAGCAGUGGGGAAUUUUCCGCAAUGGGCGCAAGCCUGACGGAGCAAUACCGCGUGAAGGAUGAAUGCCUGUGGGUUGUAAACUUCUUUUAUUAGGGAAGAAAUAAUGACGGUACCUAAUGAAUAAGCAUCGGCUAACUUCGUGCCAGCAGCCGCGGUAAUACGGGGGAUGCAAGCGUUAUCCGGAAUUAUUGGGCGUAAAGAGUCUGUAGGUUGUUUAAUAAGUCUGCUGUUAAAUAUUAGAGCUUAACUCUAAGCAAGCAGUGGAAACUAUUAAGCUAGAGUAUGGUAGAGGCAAAGGGAAUUCCCAGUGUAGCGGUGAAAUGCGUAGAUAUUGGGAAGAACACCAGAAGCGAAAGCGCUUUGCUGGACCAUUACUGACACUCAGAGACGAAAGCUAGGGGAGCAAAUGGGAUUAGAUACCCCAGUAGUCCUAGCCGUAAACGAUGGAUACUAGAUGUUGCGCGUAUCGAUCCGUGCAGUAUCGUAGCUAACGCGUUAAGUAUCCCGCCUGGGAAGUAUGCUCGCAAGAGUGAAACUCAAAGGAAUUG